UACGUAGGGUGCGAGCGUUGUCCGGAAUUAUUGGGCGUAAAGCGCGUGUAGGCGGCUUUGCAAGUCGGGUGUGAAAGCCCUCAGCUUAACUGAGGAAGUGCGCCCGAAACUGCAGAGCUUGAGUACCGGAGAGGGUGGCGGAAUUCCCCAAGUAGAGGUGAAAUUCGUAGAUAUGGGGAGGAACACCGGUGGCGAAGGCGGCCACCUGGACGGAUACUGACGCUGAGACGCGAAAGCGUGGGUAGCAAACAGG
rnacentral:rRNA from 1 species